rnacentral:lncRNA from 10 species
AUUUUUGCAUGGUUCUUGAUUGACUUUCUGGUGCUCUGCCUGGAGGUCUUUGCUUAUCUGUGAGUUGCCUGAGUCACAUUUUUACAUGGUUCUGGUGCUCUGCCUGCAGGUCAAGAAGGAGCCAGUAUCUCCAGGAGGAGUGAGAGAGUGCUCUGCCAGUGUGAAGUGUGAAUCCUUGAGAGGCUGUGGCAAGGGUCCAUGCCUGAAUGUGUAGAACAAGAACAGCUGGAGGCUGUGGCUUUCUCCAGGAAGAGGUUUCUAAAUCUGCCUCUUAGAAGAUAUCAGAAAGUUAAAGUUUCUCUUGCUGCCGCCGUGUAAGAAGGACCUUUUGCCUCCCACCAUGAUUCUAAGUCCUCCCCAGCCACGUGGAACUAGCCAAGUAAUCUAAGAAAGGCAGAAUGACAGCUAGCCUGGGAAAUGGAAUAACAUCACUUCUGUCACAUUCCAUUGGCCAAACAUAUCAAACUUGAUACAGCAUGAGAGGGGACUAUACAAGAAUGUGGAUACCAGGAAAUGAGGAUCAGUGGGGACCAGCUUGGAGGCUGACAACAACAGGAGAUGAUAAUGAAUAGUGAAAAAUGCCAAGCAGACAAUAAGCAGAAGGAACAGAGGAAAUCCACAAACUGGAUAAUUGUUUCUUGAGUAACUGACCAUCAAUCUAGAUAGUGGUUGCAGUAAUUUCAAAUUCUUCUCUUCCUUUUCACUUCAGGCUUUCAUUUGGUCUCUUUUCGAAUCAGAAGACCCAGAAAACUUGGAUCCACUUCUGGCUCUCAUCCCUCUGGGCAGUGUGAUUUGGAGUACCGCUUUGCAGUCUGGCAGCUUUCCUAUUGCACUCCGAGGACAAGCUGAACGCCUCGCUCGGAUCUACGAGGCCUGUGUGGGAAUCCCGCUUCCACUGGCUUCAUUCCCUACUAGGCAUCCACCCCACUCCACGAGGCUGCCAUCCCUGACUUCCUCCAACACAUCAGGCCUUCCUCAGGGAACUUGCCUAUGCCUGUUCUUCUUCUUCUUUUUUUAUACGGAGUCUCGCUGUCUCCAGGCUGGAGUGCAGUGGUGUGAUCUCGGCUCACUGCAAGCUCCGCCUCCU